GAUGAACGCUGGUGGCGUGCCUAAUACAUGCAAGUCGAGCGAAUGGAUUAAGAGCUUGCUCUUAUGAAGUUAGCGGCGGACGGGUGAGUAACACGUGGGUAACCUGCCCAUAAGACUGGGAUAACUCCGGGAAACCGGGGCUAAUACCGGAUAACAUUUUGAACCGCAUGGUUCGAAAUUGAAAGGCGGCUUCGGCUGUCACUUAUGGAUGGACCCGCGUCGCAUUAGCUAGUUGGUGAGGUAACGGCUCACCAAGGCAACGAUGCGUAGCCGACCUGAGAGGGUGAUCGGCCACACUGGGACUGAGACACGGCCCAGACUCCUACGGGAGGCAGCAGUAGGGAAUCUUCCGCAAUGGACGAAAGUCUGACGGAGCAACGCCGCGUGAGUGAUGAAGGCUUUCGGGUCGUAAAACUCUGUUGUUAGGGAAGAACAAGUGCUAGUUGAAUAAGCUGGCACCUUGACGGUACCUAACCAGAAGGCCACGGCUAACUACGUGCCAGCAGCCGCAGUAA
rnacentral:rRNA from 1 species